rnacentral:rRNA from 1 species
UAGGGAAUCUUCCGCAAUGGACGCAAGUCUGACGGAGCAACGCCGCGUGAGUGAUGAAGGUUUUCGGAUCGUAAAGCUCUGUUGCCCUAGACGAAUAGCAAGGAGAGUAACUGCUCUUUGUGUGACGGUAUAGGAGAAGAAAGCCCCGGCUAACUACGUGCCAGCAGCCGCGGUAAUACGUAGGGGGCAAGCGUUGUCCGGAAUUAUUGGGCGUAAAGCGCGCGCAGGCGGUCAUUUAAGUUUGGUGUUUAAGCCCGGGGCUCAACCCCGGUUCGCAUCGAAAACUGGGUGACUUGAGUGUAGGAGAGGAAAGUGGAAUUCCACGUGUAGCGGUGAAAUGCGUAGAGAUGUGGAGGAACACCAGUGGCGAAGGCGACUUUCUGGCCUAUAACUGACGCUGAGGCGCGAAAGCGUGGGGAGCAAACA